GACGAACGCUGGCGGCGUGCCUAAUACAUGCAAGUCGAGCGAACAGAUAAGGAGCUUGCUCCUUUGACGUUAGCGGCGGACGGGUGAGUAACACGUGGGUAACCUACCUAUAAGACUGGGAUAACUUCGGGAAACCGGAGCUAAUACCGGAUAACAUUUGGAACCGCAUGGUUCUAAAGUGAAAGAUGGUUUUGCUAUCACUUAUAGAUGGACCCGCGCCGUAUUAGCUAGUUGGUAAGGUAACGGCUUACCAAGGCGACGAUACGUAGCCGACCUGAGAGGGUGAUCGGCCACACUGGAACUGAGACACGGUCCAGACUCCUACGGGAGGCAGCAGUAGGGAAUCUUCCGCAAUGGGCGAAAGCCUGACGGAGCAACGCCGCGUGAGUGAUGAAGGGUUUCGGCUCGUAAAACUCUGUUAUUAGGGAAGAACAAAUGUGUAAGUAACUGUGCACGUCUUGACGGUACCUAAUCAGAAAGCCACGGCUAACUACGUG
rnacentral:rRNA from 1 species